GACGCGGUGGCUGAGUGGUAAAGCGCUUAGCCUUCGAUCCAAAGGGGCUUGAACCUCGGGUCCGAAUCUCGACGGAGUCA
rnacentral:tRNA from 1 species